UUUUUUUUUCUUUCUUUUUUUCUUUUUUUUUUUUCUUUCUUUCUUUCUUUUUUUUUUUG
rnacentral:ribozyme from 1 species